UUUUCGCACUCUGGAGAGCGGCAGUAGCGCCGAUGCACACAUGCUGCACGCGCAAGCUGCCCACCGAAGGGGCGCGCGCCACGCCGGCCAGCACUCGCUGACGGCGGCGCAAUCUCUCAGGUAUCGAGGACAGAGGGGGCAUG
rnacentral:ncRNA from 2 species